UGAAACCGUCUAGAGGCAAACGGAGAGGACCGUAUGGUCCGCCCGUCGGAUUCAGUCCGCCUGCUCGGCCGCGUGGCCGGCGUCGCAUCCCUCUCGGGAGCGCGUCGGCGACGUCGCGUCGGGCGGCGGCCGUACUUUCGGCGGGCGGAGCGCCACGACCGGUUCGCGGGCGGCGAGAAACUCCCCGGCAAGGUGACCGUCGCCUCGGCGUCGGAGCAUACAGGCCGGGMGAGCGUCGGCCCGUCSGCGGACCGAGGAAGACCGUCGCGGCGAGGCGUCGACCGCCGGUCGUGCGAGCGCGUUCGACUCGGGGGGACUGGUUCCAGUGCCCUCGGACCGCGCGUUCGUAUCGUCCGGACGGCACGGCGUCGCGCUUGGGGUCGGAGGCGAAACGGCCGGCAACCUGUCCGACCCGUCUUGAAACACGGACCAAGGAGUCUAACAUGUGCGCGAGUCGUUGGGCGCUACGAAACCCGCAGGCGCAAUGAAAGUGAAGGCCGGCCUCGCGUCGGCCUCGGUGCGAUCCGGACGUCUCCGGGCGUCCGGCGCAGCACCGGCCCGUCUCGGUCGCCGCGUCGACGAGGCGGAGCAAGAGCGUACACGUUGGGACCC
rnacentral:rRNA from 1 species